GCCGGAAUGGUGGAAUGGCAGACACGACGGACUCAAAAUCCGUUGCUGGCAACAGUGUGCGGGUUCAAGUCCCGCUUCCGGCA
rnacentral:tRNA from 1 species